CCUACGGGUGACAGCAGUGAGGAAUAUUGGUCAAUGGGCUUACGCCUGAACCAGCCAAGUCGCGUGAGGGAAGACUGCCCUAUGGGUUGUAAACCUCUUUUGUCAGGGAGCAACGCCGGCUACGUGUAGCCGGACUGAGAGUACCUGAAGAAAAAGCAUCGGCUAACUCCGUGCCAGCAGCCGUGGUAAUACGGAGGAUGCGAGCGUUAUCCGGAUUUACUGGGUGUAAAGGGAGCGUAGACGGCAAGGCAAGCCAGAAGUGAAAGGGCAGGGCUCAACCCUGUACAUGCUUUUGGAACGGUGGUGCUAGAGUGCAGGAGAGGUAAGUGGAAUUCCUAGUGUAGCGGUGAAAUGCGUAGAUAUUAGGAGGAACACCAGUGGCGAAGGCGGCUUACUGGACUGUAACUGACGUUGAGGCUCGAAAGCGUGGGGAGCAAACAGGAUUAGAUACCCCAGUAGUC
rnacentral:rRNA from 1 species